rnacentral:lncRNA from 1 species
GGAACCCCUGUCGCGUCUGAUUGUCUCUCGCUCGUCGCGGGGCUGGGUUGGCAGACAGCAGGCUCACCUCUCCUUGGGACCCCUCGGCUUUGGUGAGGGAAGUUCCACUGCCUCUCUCUGCGGAGCGCCCCCCGCAUUUGUCAGUUUUGGAAUCAAGACCCCAGGCGUCUUCUGGAAGAGAGAUGUGUGGAGACAGCAGUCUCCUCUCCCGUCCCCAGCUCUGCUGUAGGCUCAUCCCGAGUCUUCUUGGCGUCUCAGUUUCCCAUCCAGGCGACCUGAGGCUUUAUCUGAAAGGUCUGGAGCUGGGGCACCCUCCAAUCACAAUCACAACGGCCUUCCCAGGACUGCACAAUGCUGUGCUUCCAAGACGGUUAUCAGUUGAGAUCAUCUUGAUGAGACAGAUCAUCAGCUUACUUCUUGGUGAGAGAAACGCCUCAUUUUUAAAAGAUCCCAGGCUUCAUCCUCUAUCUCACCAUCCUGUCUCUGAGAACUGAUGCUCUGCCUGCAGUGACUGAGACUGAAAUGGGGCAUCUUCACUCUCACCUCUUCCCUGCAUCUGCCUCUGUGUGUGUGAAGUCGCUCAGUCAUGUCCGACUCUUUGCGACCCCGUGGACUAUAGCCCGCCAGGCUCCUCUGUCCAUGGGAUUCUCCAGGUAAGAUUACUGGACUGGGUUGCCAUUUCCUUCUCCAGGGGAUCUUCCCAACCCAGGGAUCGAACCUUGGUCUCCUGCAUUGCAGGCACACGCUUUAUCCUCUGAGCCACCAGGGAUCAGUCUCUUUAGGGAGAGAUGCCUGUUCAUACCUGCAGUGGGGCCCAAAGACAGAGGAGUUGCCAGCCUUCAGGAGCUCUGUUGAGGCCCUCAUUCAUGCGGACUACGGUACAGGCUACCCUAGCACCGGCCAGCCUGGUUGAACGUUCCCCACUCCACCCUGCCAGACAGAGGCCCAAGAGAGCAGGGGCUGGAGCUCAGAGGAGCUGGGAUGAAGCACCCAGCAGACACUCCUCACGUGGGUUGCUUCAAAGGUUGCCUUGAAGUCAGGGAGCUUGGUCACUGAAAGGAGACGGGAGAGAGCAUGUUGAGAGAGCUUAGGUUUUGAGGCCAGAUGGGGUUUGCUGGAGAAUGACUAUCCAGCUGAAUCCUGUGAAUCUGUGCAGGGAAGUUCCUACAGGUUGGCAAAGCAGCUUGGGGGUAUUCAAGGACAUCAUCCUCUUGACCUUGGGAGACCACUAGGGGCUGUGAGCAGGGCUUGGACUGAGGAAAUAUAGGCUGCCUCUUGAUGGUGGACCAUCUAAUUCCUUUUGGAUGUUGACCCCAAACAGAUACUGCAAUUCCAUCAGCAAUUGUGAGGGGGGCGCCCAGGCCAGACUCCCAAGAGUGUGCCUGGAACCAAGUGCAAUUCCUGUGCAACGAACCCAAUCCUGAAAUGGGACUCAGCUUCUCUAAGUCCAGUUGCCCUUGGACUCUGCUUGUUUCUUACUGGGAAAGAGUGCUUUCGGUGGCACCACCAACCUUGAGCUAGCUAUUUAAUUUCACUGAGCUGCAGGUUUCUUCUUGAAAGUGGGACUAAUGAUACCUCCUUGCAGGGUUAUGAGCGUAGUGAAGGGGUACAGUGCAAGGCCUGUAGUAAAUUUUCAAUUGGAUACCAGACCCUCACCUUACCUGACCCUUUCAAAUCAAGAUUAUUCAUUGUGUGACCUUAACUCAUUCAGCAAACCAUUCAAAAUGCCUCACUUCAAUAAAAAAAACAAAACAAAACAGGUGAUUGCCCGCCUGAGUAGUUGCAUUAGCCUGUUAUUCUGUCAUUUUUUCCCAAUA